UGCCAGCCGCCGCGGUAAUACGAAGGGUGCUAGCGUUGUUCGGAAUUACUGGGCGUAAAGAGCAUGUAGGCGGAUGAAUUAGUCAGAGGUGAAAGCCCCGAGCUCAACUUGGGAACUGCCUUUGAUACUGUUUAUCUAGAGUCCGAGAGAGGUUAGUGGAAUUCCCAGUGUAGAGGUGAAAUUCGUAGAUAUUGGGAAGAACACCAGUGGCGAAGGCGGCUGGCACGAGUACUCACGCUGAGAUGAAAAAGCGUGGGGAGCAAACAGGAUUAGAUA
rnacentral:rRNA from 1 species